UUCUCGACCCUUCCUUGGCCGACUCCUAGUCGGCCUUCAGGAUCCAGCUUAGAGGUCACUUCAUUCAUCAGAGACAUUGACGGAUGGGUCACUGUGGCCCAGGCAUUGCUCCACACACUGAGGAUACAGCUAGGAACAAGGAGAGAGUAGACCAGGCCCCUGCUCUCAUCAAGCUCACUUUAUACCCAACCUCAAACCUGACAGUGAAGAAUUGCAAAAGCCGUUCGAUCAGAGGCCUGACACUGCCCCACUGAGAAAACAAGGUGUUGUGAAGACGGUCACGUAAGAAAAUACAGUGAUGGCCAAGUGGAGGGGAACGAUGCUGCAACCCACACCAGAUGCCAGUGGCACUCAUUCUUGUGACAUCUGUGAAGGUAUACGGGUUCGAGCUCUGCUCCAGAAAGAUCCCACACGCCGUGGAGCAACUAAGCCCGUGUGCCACAACUAUUGAGCCAUGUGCUGCAACUACUGAAGCCCACAUGCCUAGAGCCUGUGCUCCGCAACAAGAGAAGCCACCGCAAUGAGAAGCCUGCACACCACAACAAAGGGUAGCCCCCACUUGCCACAACUAGAGAAAGCCCACUUGCAGCA